rnacentral:rRNA from 1 species
UACGUAGGGUGCAAGCGUUAUCCGGAAUUAUUGGGCGUAAAGAGCUCGUAGGUGGCUUGUCACGUCGGGUGUGAAAGCUUGGGGCUUAACUCCGGGUCUGCAUUCGAUACGGGCAGGCUAGAGUUCGGUAGGGGAGAUCGGAAUUCCUGGUGUAGCGGUGAAAUGCGCAGAUAUCAGGAGGAACACCGGUGGCGAAGGCGGAUCUCUGGGCCGAUACUGACGCUGAGGAGCGAAAGCGUGGGGAGCGAACAGG